CCAAAAUCUUGAUCUGCGCGGAGCUCAUUGCCUUCGUUCUCGGUUAAAACAAUGAGUAGCAUCUGAGUCUGUGAGAGCUUGGUUUAAAUUUUCAAAAUACAAAUUUGAUUUUGUGGGAAAAUAAAUGGCAUCCAUUGCUUCAAUUCGAGAAAUUACCCGUCGAUUUCCGUCCGCUAUCAAGAGGGAUUGUUUACUCAGGUUAUGUUGUUUUGUUCGAAAUGAGUCCUUUCUGUCUAGACAAUGCCUUAAUUGCAUCACAUUUGCAAACCAGAGAAGCUACAAGGCUGUGAGGCUGUCAUUACCUGCUCCACAUGUAGCCUCUCCUUUUGAUUUUUCAUUGCUAUCAGAGCGAAACAUAUUUUGGCAUCAGAACAUUCUUUGCAAAUGGCUAUGUGCAAGAAAUAUGAGUAAUGCAUCAGUUGAGCUGAAAACAGAUGAGGAUGUUAUCAGGUUUUCUUUUAGUAAGUCACUAGGUAGAGUUGGUUCUACAUAUGGCAAGGGGACGGCCAAAAGACACAAAAUGUCUAAAAAGGCCAAACUCAAUGAACUUCGUUUCUAUCGUCUGAAGGCCAAAAAGAAGAUGAACUCACCAAAUCCAGAAGUUAGGAUUAGAUAUAAACUUGAAAAGGCCAAAAGAAAGGAAGCUUGGUUGGUUGAAAAGUUGAUAAAAUAUGAGGUUCCCAGGGCCCCAGCCGAAGCAUAUGAUCCUGAAAUUUUAACUGAGGAAGAGAGACACUACCUAAAGCGUACUGGUGAGAAGAAAAAGAAUUAUGUUCAAGUUGGAAGACGAGGAGUAUUUGGCGGUGUUGUUCUCAAUAUGCAUCUCCAUUGGAAAAAUCAUGAAACUGUAAAGGUCACUUGCAAGCCUUGCAAGCCAGGGCAGGUUCAUGAAUAUGCUGAAGAACUUGCUCGACUUAGCAAAGGCAUUGUGAUUGACAUAAAACCUAACAAUGCUAUAAUAUUCUAUCGAGGAAAGAAUUAUGUGCAGCCAAAAAUUAUGUCUCCACCAGAUACCCUAUCUAAAAACAAAGCUUUGGAAAAAUACAAAUACGAACAAUCCCUUGAUCAUACAAGUAAUUUCAUUGAGAAGUUGGAGAAGGAGCUGGAAGAGUAUCUCGAGCAUAAAGCUCGAUAUAAGAAGGGAAAAGAGAGUGCACCACAGGAUUUCCUGCUAAGAACAUACUGGCUGAACCUGCCUUGAAGCGUAUGCAAUGACGUGGUCAGCAAAAAUGCACUGUUUGGGAGACAAUGGUUUUGCAUUGUCAUUAAGUAUCUUUUAGUUCUCAUUCUCAGGAGACAUGUUGCAUGCCAAUUCAAAGAGACUUGUUUAGUUUACUCAUUUAUUAGUGACCAAUGCCAUGUGCUAUUUACAUGGAGCCACUAUUUAUAUUGACUAAAGAACCAUGAAAUUCUACACCUACAGUUACUGCCAAAGGCUUAUUGGUUUCUCUUUGCUUUGACUGCAAAUGUGAGGAAAAUGGUUGAGCUUAUGGAUUCUAUUCUUCUAGAUUAUGACUCCUGGUGGUGUUGUCUCAUUGGCCUUUGGUAUCAGCCGGGGCUGAAAUCUGUCAAGAUAUUCUCUUCUUCUGGAUGAUAAUGGAUGCAACCCAACUUUGAGUUAAAUAGUCAUCUUCUUGGCUGGAUGAUACUGAGUGGCUGAAAGGAUGAUUGUGGUUUAUUUGGGUCCAUGAGAUUAGACACAUUACACAAGCGCUAAGCAUUUGAUCAACUACAUCAAAUGCAUGUGAGCGUGCAGGCGUGAAAUACGCUAAUCCUGGCUACAGGUGGCUUUCAUUGCCAUUGGAAUUAUAUCUGAUGAUAGUUGCUGGACACACCACUUGAUUUGGGAACCUCCCAAUUGCAUCAGUGCACUGCUUUUAGAUGGUCUAACAACUGAGAACCAGCCAUGGGUAAGGAAAAGCCCCUUAUAUCUGACAUCUAAGAACCUCUUCCAUCUUGUUUACGCAUUGUACAAAUUGAAAUAAACAAUUUUGUAUAUGGAUUAUUGAAAUCAUCUUCUCAGUCGCUGCUGUAAGAGUGCUUUUUUGUGAAGCUUUUCCCAGUGUAGUUAUAAAUAAGGUGGCUGAAAGAGCAGGAUGCACUAAGGAUGAUUAUAAAUUUUUUUUUUUCUGAAUAAUCUUUUACGCUGUUGUUCCAUCAUAGAAAGCUUUCACCCAUGGUGCUGUGCAAUUAAGUGUAAAGCUUUGUUAACCUUUUGACAUUUUAUAUUUUCAAUUUAAUGAAGUUGUAGCUUCACCAUGAUUUCGACCCAA